rnacentral:piRNA from 1 species
UAAAGUCCGAAAAUUUUCACA